rnacentral:rRNA from 1 species
AGUGGGGAAUUUUGGACAAUGGGCGAAAGCCUGAUCCAGCAAUGCCGCGUGAGUGAAGAAGGCCUUCGGGUUGUAAAGCUCUUUUGUCAGGGAAGAAACGGUGAGGGCUAAUAUCCUUCGCUAAUGACGGUACCUGAAGAAUAAGCACCGGCUAACUACGUGCCAGCAGCCGCGGUAAUACGUAGGGUGCAAGCGUUAAUCGGAAUUACUGGGCGUAAAGCGUGCGCAGGCGGUUUUGUAAGUCUGACGUGAAAUCCCCGGGCUCAACCUGGGAAUUGCGUUGGAGACUGCAAGGCUAGAAUCUGGCAGAGGGGGGUAGAAUUCCACGUGUAGCAGUGAAAUGCGUAGAGAUGUGGAGGAACACCGAUGGCGAAGGCAGCCCCCUGGGUCAAGAUUGACGCUCAUGCACGAAAGCGUGGGGAGCAAA